rnacentral:sRNA from 1 species
UCCCAGCCCGGAUUGAAAUGUAAAUCCUUUUUUUAGCAGUGGUUUUGCAGCGGCCAAAAAAGAUUGCAAUGGAAAGCCGGUAACCGC